GUUUCAUGAAAAUUUAUAUUAAAAUUUUAUUUUUUAGUUAAAAAGCUAAAAUAAUUUUAAAAGACGAGAAGACCCUAUAAAUCUUUAUAAUUUUUUAUAUUUUAAUUUUUAAAGAUAAAUUUUAUUAUAAUGUAAAAAUUUAUUUUAUUGGGGUGAUAUUAAAAUUUAAUUAACUUUUAAUUAACAAAUUACAUUAAUUAAUGAAUAAUUGAUCCAUUAUUAGUGAUUAAAAAAUUAAGUUACUUUAGGGAUAACAGCGUAAUUUUUUUGGAGAGUUCUUAUCGAUAAAAAAGUUUGCGACCUCGAUGUUGGAUUAAGAGAUAGUUUUAAUGCAGAAGUUAAAAUAUAAAGUCUGUUCGACUUUUAAAUUCUUACAUGAUCUGAGUUCAAACCGGUGUGAGCCAGGUUGGUUUCUAUCUUUAAUAAAUUAUAAUAUUUUAGUACGAAAGGAAUUAAUAUUUAAAAAAUUUUUUUAAUAAUGAAU
rnacentral:rRNA from 1 species